UACGGAGGGUGCAAACAUUGCUCGGAAUCAUUGGGCGUAAAGCGCACGUAGGCGGCCUGUUAAGUCGGGUGUGAAAUCCUGGAGCUCAACUCCAGAACUGCCUUCGAUACUGGCGAUCUUGAGUCCGGAAGAGGUGAGUGGAACUCCUAGUGUAGAGGUGGAAUUCGUAGAUAUUAGGAAGAACACCAGUGGCGAAGGCGGCUCACUGGUCCGGUACUGACGCUGAGGUGCGAAAGCGUGGGGAGCAAACAGG
rnacentral:rRNA from 1 species